CCUACGGGGGGCAUCAGUGGGGAAUAUUGGACAAUGGGGGCAACCCUGAUCCAGCAAUUCUGUGUGCACGAAGACGGUUUUCGGAUUGUAAAGUGCUUUCAGCAGGGAAGAAGGAAGUGACGGUACCUGCAGAAGAAGCGACGGCUAAAUACGUGCCAGCAGCCGCGGUAAUACGUAUGUCGCGAGCGUUAUCCGGAAUUAUUGGGCAUAAAGGGCAUCUAGGCGGCCUUUCAAGUCAGGGGUGAAAACCUGCGGCUCAACCGCAGGCCUGCCUUUGAAACUGAUAGGCUGGAGUACCGGAGAGGUGGACGGAACUGCACGAGUAGAGGUGAAAUUCGUAGAUAUGUGCAGGAAUGCCGAUGAUGAAGAUAGUUCACUGGACGGUAACUGACGCUGAAGUGCGAAAGCCGGGGGAGCGAACAGGAUUAGAUACCCUGGUA
rnacentral:rRNA from 1 species